CCCUCCGCGCGGCUCGGCGGACGCUGCACUCUGAGGCGCGCGCAGCCCCGGGAUUCGUCCGCAGUGGAGCUCAAAGCUGCUGGUUCGCUCCCCGGUGUCUCCAAAUAGAUGGUGCUGCUGCGGUGGGCUAGCCAGAGUAUAACCGGCGAGUGAUGACCCCACACUCAACCUGACAGUCACUCUCACGCGGGGCCACGCCCCUGGGCCAAGAAAGGAGGUGACAAACAGCCUCCAAGCUCCCUCUCCCCGCUGGCCCCUCGGGGGAAGCUGAACCGAUACCGCUGCCGAGGCUGCAGACGGCCUCCUGGUCCAGUGCCUCAGUCGCACCCGUGCUCAGCGGCCCCGGGAGACCGCGGGGCAAGCGAUAAAUUCCUUGGUCUCAUUUCUCCUCAAGCUUGUGCGGAGAGUCGGGGGGAGUUCUCCGUCUCUCCCAGAUCGUUCCUCUCUCUCGGACCUGGAGCAGAUUGGCACCUUCCCGCGACCGUCCCCUUCCCGUGCUCUCCACUCCGCCACCGCAGAGGGAAAGCAGUUGUCCUCUAGUAUCUACAGGGCCGGUCUCCUCUGGCGCUAGAGGACAGGCGGAAAGAUGUGCAGUGUUUCUUUACAGGUUGCUGCCAAGAACAGGAUGGGGUUAUGCAGAAGAGACAAGGGGAAAAAGAAGUUCUCAACAUACAUUGUGGCCUCUAAUCAGAAGCACUCUGCACCUACAGCUUGAGAACCUCUCCUUCCCUCUUGAUAUUAUAUUUAGGAAGUUCUUUCGCCAAGAGAGCCUCUGUGCAACCUUCACUGGUUCUGGAUCUCACCAACUGUACUUAAGUCCAUGGCCUUUUUGCAGUAAAAGAUUAAAACAUUGGGUGUUUUAAGUGUGAAAAACAAAAGACUCUUAUUUUUACCAUUUCUUGAUUUCUCUAGGAGGUCAUGAGAAAACCACACACAUAAAAUUACAGAAGACAGCUGAAAGAGUACUACCAGUUCCAAAUAACUUCUUCACCAGAAAGCGUGUGAUUUUUCACCCCAACACAGGGAGUGACUGAUGGUGGGUGUACACACAUACGUGUGCACACACAAGCAAACACACACCAGGCAAUCAGGGAAAUACAGCUCUGAAAAUUGUAUUCCUGUUAUUAGAAGUAAAAUUACUUUUAUCUCAUGCUAAGAGCUGAACUAUGCCAGAGGAGAAUAAGGUUUAGACAAUGAGUCAUCUUACAGAGAGAGGAUAGGAGGAGAGAAGGGAUCAAUGACCUUUUUCAGAUGUUAGUGAAAUUUCUGGUUAGAUACUUGUAUCAUAAGACUGUGAAAAAUCCCAAAGUCCUUUGUGAGUUUGUGCUUGUGUGUUUGUAUCUGUGCAUGUACAUGUGUGGGGUGGGGGGAGUGACAGAGAGAAAGGGAGAGAGAAUAUAGUAUCCAUGUGUAUGGAAAAAGCAAAUGAGCAGAAUCUUAUUAUUCAGGAAGAUACAAAGGUAACGGGAUUUGAUCCUGCCCUCAGUUGACUAACCUUCUUAUCAAGGAGAUCAGACAUCAACAAAAGAUACAAAAUUUGAUCAUAAGAAUCAGGUUGUAAAAUGUCAUAACUAAAGAUGAACUGAUACAGCCAUAAAAGAAGGGAACAUUUCUGAAUGUGGAAUGAGAAGAGACUCCAGGAAUCCUUGAAUAUAAGAGAGAAAUUAGCCACAUAGGUAAAAUAGAGAGAAGUUUAAACAAAGUCUGCUUGCCAGGGGAACACAUGGCAUGUGCAAAACAGAGAGAAGUCUAACUUGAAAAAAAUACAGAGUUUGAAACACAAAUAUGAUUUAGUUGGAAAGAAGGUUUAUUACCUUGUUAUGCUAAGAAGCUUGAUAUUUGAAAUCCAGACAUGGAUAGUUAGAAAGUAGAUGUACAGGGGUAGCAAUUUAGCUCAGUGGGAGAGCACUUGCCUAGCCCUAGCAUGUGCAAGCUUUGGGUUUUAUUCCCAGUGCCACAAAAGGUAGAUAAAGAAGUGACUGUCUCCAUCCCUAGGGCUAAAGCCAGAUUGCAAAUUGUAGGCCAAGAUUAUCAAACAAGCCUUUCAUGACUUCUGUAUCAAUUAGCCUAAAUUAAUUUUGCUGAGUGGUCUCAAGAGCAGGGUAUCACAUACUCAAAAAAAAAAAAAUGCACUGCUUUUUACACUCACUGCUUUUUAGCCAAA